rnacentral:lncRNA from 10 species
UCAGACUUUAUGGCAGCAGGCAACCUAUAUUGAGGGAUGAUUUCAUUGCAUAAAAACUUAACUACUGUGUUGGUGGUUUCGUUUUCGGUAGCAAAUGCCUUAGUCUAUCUGGAGAAGGUGUCUACUCGUACUAGAAGACAGACAAGGGGAGGGGGUCCUGUGAUGAGAUCAGUCAGAUGCCUGCCUGGCCGCUCCCCCUGAGGGAACUUGGGCUCCUCUUAGCAUUGGCAGGCCGGUAUAAACUUCCGGCUCAGAUCGAGAUAUGCCUGAUGCUGCCUUAAGCCUUAUGAGGUCGCCACGGAACCGCAGAAACUCCUGGAGAGCAGAGCCAUGCCUGCCAUUUCCAUCAUUGCAUUACCACCACCCAGCACAGUGCCUGGCACAAAAGAGUUGCUCAAUAAAUAAAUCAGGAUGAAUGGAUAAAUACACGGACAGGCACUUUGAACUACAGAUGAGCUUAAAUACUUUGUGUUUUUCUUAGUCAAACAUGUGCAAUUAAGCAUGUGAUAAAUUAUAUGAUGACCACACCUGUGUCUUGCCUGAUGAUCUUUGCAAUCACUAAACAAAGUCAAUUUUGCC